CUACGGGGUGCUGCAGUGGGGAAUAUUGCACAAUGGAGGAAACCCUGAUGCAGCAACGCCGCGUGGAGGAUGACGCAUUUCGGUGUGUAAACUCCUUUUAUAUGUCAAGAAAAUGACGGUAGCAUAUGAAUAAGCACCGGCUAACUCCGUGCCAGCAGCCGCGGUAAUACGGAGGGUGCAAGCGUUACUCGGAAUCACUGGGCGUAAAGGACGCGUAGGCGGGUUGGAAAGUCAGGUGUGAAAUCCUACAGCUUAACUGUAGAACUGCACUUGAAACUUCUAAGCUAGAGUAUGGGAGGGGGAGAUGGAAUUAGUGGUGUAGGGGUAAAAUCCGUAGAUAUCACUAGGAAUACCUAAAGCGAAGGCGAUCUCCUGGAACAUUACUGACGCUAAGGCGUGAAAGCGUGGGGAGCAAACAGGAUUAGAUACCCUCGUAGUC
rnacentral:rRNA from 1 species